rnacentral:rRNA from 1 species
AAUCUUCCACAAUGGACGUAAGUCUGAUGCAGCAACGCCGCGUGAUCGAAGAAGGUUUUCGGAUCGUAAAGCAUUUUUGUCAGGGAAGAGCACGUACGGGAGACACUGCCCGUACUUUGACGGCACCUGUUUAUAUAACUACCGCACACUACGCGUCAGCCUCCGCGGUAAUACGUCGGUGGCAAGCGUUGUCCGGAAUUAUUGGGCGUAAAGCGCGCGCAGGCGGUCUGGAAAGUAGGAUGUACAAGCUCGGGGCUCACCCCCGAGCGUGCAUACGAAACUUCCAGACUUGAGAGAAAGAGAGGGAAGUGGGAUUCCUAGUGUAGCGGUGAAAUGCGUAGAUAUUAGGAGGAACACCAGUGGCGAAGGCGACUCCCUGGCUUGCAACUGACGCUGAGGCGCGAAAGCGUGGGUAGCGAACA